rnacentral:tRNA from 1 species
GACCCCAUCGUCUAGUCAGGUCCAGGACACCGGGUUUUCAUCCCGGCAACACGGGUUCGAAUCCCGUUGGGGUGGCCA